UGCAGAGACCGGGUUCGAACCACGGACCUGUCGGCUAGCAUAUCCGCGCUCUAACCACUGAGCCAUCUCGC
rnacentral:tRNA from 11 species